rnacentral:rRNA from 1 species
AUGGAUGCUGCCGGCGAGGGUGACAGCGGUGGCAUGUGUUUCCCUACGGCGUGCUCCUCGACAUCCUCCGACGUCUGCCUUGGCGCGACGUUGCUGCGUCGAAGUGCGUCUGCCGGUUGUGGCGCGACAUCCUGGACGACCAUGGGCUCUCCCUCGAGCGCUGCUUCCCCCGGCGAUCCUUUCCCGGCCUCUUCAUUAACAAGUUCGGGUGUGGGUCUGAUACGUCCUUCUUCGCCCCGUCGUCUACACGCUUUCGACUCCCCAUCGAUCCGGACGACGUCGCCACCGUAUGCCAGUCCUGCAACGGCCUCCUGCUUCUCGACAAGUGGGGCCACUACUACGUGCUCAACCCGGCGACGACACGGUACACACAUCUGCCGCGCCCGACAACUCCGUGGUGCAGCUUUGCCGCAUCCCUCGCCUUCGACCCGGCCGUGUCGCUGCAUUACCAUGUGUUCCUCUUCCAGAAGGGCGGCAUGCUCAAGGUGGAGAAGCAAGCCGAGGAGGUUCUGCCGCGGAAGGGGUCGAGGAGCCAACGGAAAAGGUGAUGUCUAUGCUAGUGUACUCAUCCCGUACAUGUCAUUGGGAGAACCGAGAGUUCGCGCCUGGACGCUGCGCCCCGGGGCACCUCGACGACGUGGUGGCCAAACCACCCAAGAGCUACGGGGGAGCGUUCUGUUCAUGUGA